rnacentral:rRNA from 1 species
GUGGGGAAUUUUGGACAAUGGGCGCAAGCCUGAUCCAGCAAUGCCGCGUGCAGGAAGAAGGCCUUCGGGUUGUAAACUGCUUUUGUACGGAACGAAAAGGCUCUGGCUAAUACCUGGGGCACAUGACGGUACCGUAAGAAUAAGCACCGGCUAACUACGUGCCAGCAGCCGCGGUAAUACGUAGGGUGCAAGCGUUAAUCGGAAUUACUGGGCGUAAAGCGUGCGCAGGCGGUGCUGUAAGACAGGCGUGAAAUCCCCGGGCUUAACCUGGGAAUGGCGCUUGUGACUGCAGUGCUGGAGUGUGGCAGAGGGGGAUGGAAUUCCGCGUGUAGCAGUGAAAUGCGUAGAUAUGCGGAGGAACACCGAUGGCGAAGGCAAUCCCCUGGGCCUGCACUGACGCUCAUGCACGAAAGCGUGGGGAGCAAACAGGAUUAGAAACCCGAGUAGUCC